AUGCAAGUCGAACGGGAAAUAUUCCAUUGAGACUUCGGUGGAUUUGAUCUAUUGCGAAUGGCGGACGGGUGAGUAACGCGUGGGUAACCUGCCUUAUACAGGGGGAUAACAGUCAGAAAUGGCUGCUAAUACCGCAUAAGCGCACAGAGCUGCAUGGCUCAGUGUGAAAAACUCCGGUGGUAUAAGAUGGACCCGCGUUGGAUUAGCUAGUUGGUGGGGUAACGGCCCACCAAGGCGACGAUCCAUAGCCGGCCUGAGAGGGUGAACGGCCACAUUGGGACUGAGACACGGCCCAGACUCCUACGGGAGGCAGCAGUGGGGAAUAUUGCACAAUGGGGGAAACCCUGAUGCAGCGACGCCGCGUGAAGGAAGAAGUAUCUCGGUAUGUAAACUUCUAUCAGCAGGGAAGAUAGUGACGGUACCUGACUAAGAAGCCCCGGCUAACUACGUGCCAGCAGCCGCGGUAAUACGUAGGGGGCAAGCGUUAUCCGGAUUUACUGGGUGUAAAGGGAGCGUAGACGGUGUGGCAAGUCUGAUGUGAAAGGCAUGGGCUCAACCUGUGGACUGCAUUGGAAACUGUCAUACUUGAGUGCCGGAGGGGUAAGCGGAAUUCCUAGUGUAGCGGUGAAAUGCGUAGAUAUUAGGAGGAA
rnacentral:rRNA from 1 species